rnacentral:rRNA from 1 species
UACGUAGGGCGCGAGCGUUGUCCGGAAUUAUUGGGCGUAAAGAGCUCGUAGGCGGCCUGUCGCGUCUGCCGUGAAAUCUGGGGGCUUAACCCUCAGCGUGCGGUGGAUACGGGCUGGCUGGAGGCAGGCAGGGGAGAAUGGAAUUCCCGGUGUAGCGGUGAAAUGCGCAGAUAUCGGGAGGAACACCGGUGGCGAAGGCGGUUCUCUGGGCCUGUUCUGACGCUGAGGAGCGAAAGCGUGGGGAG